GAUGAACGCUGGCGGCGUGCCUAAUACAUGCAAGUCGAGCGAACGGACGAGAAGCUUGCUUUUCUGAUGUUAGCGGCGGACGGGUGAGUAACACGUGGAUAACCUACCUAUAAGACUGGGAUAACUUCGGGAAACCGGAGCUAAUACCGGAUAAUAUUUUGAACCGCAUGGUUCAAAAGUGAAAGACGGUCUUGCUGUCACUUAUAGAUGGAUCUGCGCUGCAUUAGCUAGUUGGUAAGGUAACGGCUUACCAAGGCAACGAUGCAUAGCAGACCUGAGAGGGUGAUCGGCCACACUGGAACUGAGACACGGUCCAGACUCCUACGGGAGGCAGCAGUAGGGAAUCUUCCGCAAUGGGCGAAAGCCUGACGGAGCAACGCCGCGUGAGUGAUGAAGGUCUUCGGAUCGUAAAACUCUGUUAUUAGGGAAGAACAUAUGUGUAAGUAACUGUGCACAUCUUGACGGUACCUAAUCAGAAAGCCACGGCUAACUACGUG
rnacentral:rRNA from 1 species